rnacentral:tRNA from 2 species
GCAGGCAGAGGUUACUUCCACUCUUAAUGGGCGUGUCGCGGGUUCGAGUCCCGCCGCCGGUA